AUUGAACGCUGGCGGCAGGCCUAACACAUGCAAGUCGAGCGGAGCGGCGGACGGGUUAGUAAUGCCUAGGAAUCUGCCUGGUAAUGGUGGAUAACGUCCGGACAUGGGCGCUAAUACCGCAUACUAUCAGAUCAGCCUAGGUCGGAUUAGCUAGUUGGUGGGGUAAAGGCCUACCAGGGCGACGAUCCGUAACUGGUCGGAGAGGUUGAUGAGUCAAACGGGAAUGGGAAAAGGGCCCGGACUCCGACGGGAGGCAGCAGUGGGGAAUAGUGGACAAGGGGGGAAAGCCGGAUCCAGCCAUGCCGCGUGUGUGAAGAAGGUCUUCGGAGUGUAAAGCACUUUAAGUUGGGAGGCGUUACCAACAGAAUAAGCAACGGCUAACUACGUGCCAGCAGCCGCGGUAAUUC
rnacentral:rRNA from 1 species